rnacentral:rRNA from 1 species
UUGACAACAGGGAUUGCCCUAGUAACGGCGAGUGAAGCGGCAACAGCUCAAAUUUGAAAUCUGGCCCUCGGGUCCGAGUUGUAAUUUGUAGAGGAUGCUUUUGGCGCGGUGCCUUCCGAGUUCCCUGGAACGGGACGCCUUAGAGGGUGAGAGCCCCGUACGGUUGGACACCAAGCCUCUGUAAAGCUCCUUCGACGAGUCGAGUAGCUUGGGAAUGCUGCUCUAAAUGGGAGGUAAAUUUCUUCUAAAGCUAAAUAUUGGCCAGAGACCGAUAGCGCACAAGUAGAGUGAUCGAAAGAUGAAAAGCACUUUGAAAAGAGGGUUAAACAGCACGUGAAAUUGUUGAAAGGGAAGCGUUUGCGACCAGACCUUUUCCUAGCGGAUCAUCCGGUGUUCUCACCGGUGCACUUCGCUAGGUUUAGGCCAGCAUCGGUUUCUGUAGGGGGAUAAAAGCUCUGGGAACGUAGCUCCUCCGGGAGUGUUAUAGCCCUCUGCAUAAUACCCUUACGGGGACCGAGGACCGCGCUUCGGCAAGGAUGCUGGCGUAAUGGUCGUCAACGA